CGGACCAGAGUCGGCUGUGUCUCGUCAUUGGCCAUGACCUUUCUGGGAGGAGCGUAGAGAGCAGGAGAAAUGAGGUCGGGAAAACAGAUUGAAACCAACCUUCGAACGGUUACCUCGGUUUGUCUGUACUGUGAGAAAAUGUCCUUACCGAGGAAGCCUGGAUACCAAAACAAACUCUGGAGCUGCCUUUUUGUCGAACAAGAGUGAGACUGGGCACUGAACACACCUGCGGUUCGAAGGUUUACUUGUUCAGCUGUUGCAACCUGGCCAGAAACACCAGCUCUGACCUUACAAACCAAUAAGGUGUCACCACUUCAUCCAUGAUCGCAGAGUCUUCGUACAGUGAAGAAGUUCUUUGAAACCAGGACUGAAGUCACCAGGAUUCAAACGUAAGCCAUUAAAUCACACGAGAGAGGAGACAGACAUGAAGACAUUUCCAGAAGGUCUUCAGCUGCUGUUUUCGCCUCCUGCAGAGACAAGAACGCAUGUUAAUCACAGAAACUGAUCAGUAAUGUAAUGUCAGUACUCAAAUCCAUUCUGUUACUGUGUACAUAGUCCUGUUCAUACUGUUCAUAUUGUUUAAUCUUGCCUUGUAUCAUACCUUUUUAUAUUUUUGCUUCCCUGCUGUGUGACUAAUUAAGUAUUAUCUUAAUCAAAUAAAUACUUAUAAACACUCAA